GGAUUUGAUCCUGGUCCAGGAUGAACGCUGGCGGCGUGGAUAAGGCAUGCAAGUCGAACGGUCCAGUGCGUAGCACUGGGAUAUUUAAAUAUUUCAACAUUUAAAUGUUCCGGCGCUACGCGCCGGAUAGUGGCGAACGAGUUAGUAAUACCCUAGUACAUACCCCGAAGUCGGAGAUAGCCCAUUGAAAGAUGGGGUAAUAUCCGAUGGUAUAGCAAUAUUAAAGAAGCAAUUCGCUUCGGGAGUGGCUUAGGUCCUAUCAGCUAGUUGGUGAGGUAAUGGCUCACCAAGGCUAUGACGGGUAGGAGGGGUGAGAGCCCGAUCUCCAACGACGGAACUGAGAAACGGUCCGUACUCCUACGGGAGGCAGCAGUCGAGAAUAUUCCACAAUGGGCGAAAGCCUGAUGGAGCGACGCCGCGUGCAGGAAGAAGGCCUUCGGGUUGUAAACUGCGGUAAUACGCAAACAAGCUUCGGCAGAGUAGCGUAUGGAAAGAGGUUGGUAACUACGUGCCAGCACCCGCGGUAAUACGUAGACCUCGAGCGUUAUCCGGAUUUAUUGGGCGUAAAGGGUGUGUAGGGGGCUCUGCAAGUCUUAUGUUAAAUCUUACCGCCUAACGGUAAGGCUGCUUAGGAUACUGCAGUGCUAGAGGGCGCUAGAGGUGAAUAGAACGCACGGUGUAGGGGUGAAAUCCGUUGAUAUCGUGCGGAAUACCAAAGGCGAAGGCAGUUCACUGGGGCGCACCUGACCCUGAAACACGAAAGCGUGGGGAGCAAAAAGGAUUAACUGAUUAUUUUUUUGCGUCUACUGCGGUCAGAUCUUUGUUUAGAAUCGGUCUCGAUUUUUUCCUGCGAAAAAUCGGACCUGCGCUCUCGCUCGAUUUCCGCCAGAGGCGGACCAAGCAAAUCGAGCUCCGAGAGCUUCUUCACAAAGACCUGACCACAGCUAGAAAUCAAAAAUCAAAAAAAUAAUCCCUCCAUGGGUAUGGAGGAGAAUAGUCCCCGAGCACAUAAGCUUUAUGUGCUCGGAUAACUUAGCUAUAUGCUGGAAACCCUGAGUAUCCAACAGUACCGAAAGGUAAAAAUCUGUUGGUGCAGACAACCAGCAGGGAAGAUCACAAAGAAAGAGGAUAUCAUGGAAACAAUCGCUGGAUGGUGUUCAAAUUGUUUGUCCACUGUAGCCAGACCUGUUUGUAUGGAUAUUAAUUGUUCUGAAAAUAAUACGAGUUUGGAAAAUAAAAAGCAUGCGCAUUGUGCUGUGUGCGGGCUUCGUUUAGCGCCAGAUAGGUUGCUUGAUGAGGCAAUUAAUUCCAGAUAGAUUUAAAAUAGACCAAGAUAAAUUUGUGAUUCCCUCAGAGACUAUACGCUGAGAUCAAAAAAAGGCGAGUGAAUCUCACUCGCCAUAUAAUUUUUUUGAUAAGAUAUAGUCCGAACUGCAUGGCGACAUGCAGAGCAUGGUAGAAAUGUCCAUGCCAGUAAUAAUUUUGUAAUUUUAAGUUUUAAGCAUUGGAAUUUAAUUGUAAAUUGGUGUUUGAAAAUUGAAAAUUACAAUUUUGUUCAGUAACAAAAUUGUAGAUACCCUUGUAGUCCACGCCGUAAACGAUGUCUGUUCGCUAUUUCGAGUAUCGACCCUCGGAGUGGCUUAGCUAACGCGUUAAACAGACCGCC
rnacentral:rRNA from 1 species